GUUAGGGUGGCAGAGCCCGGUAAUUGCGUAAAACUUAAACCUUUACACCUCAGAGGUUCAAUUCCUCUCCCUAACA
rnacentral:tRNA from 1 species